rnacentral:lncRNA from 1 species
UUUCCCUCCGCCGGUCCUUCCGCCCCGACUCAGUACGUCUGCUUCCUCCACCCCUCUCAGGGAUGGGAAGUAUCGUUUAGCGCUCCGUUGUACGGCUCGUUUUGGUGUCAGUGCGGCAGGAGGACGCUGCGGGGCGCUCUCCGCCGGGCAAAGAGGAGUAAAGCGGAGUAAAACGGAGUAAAGCGGAGCUGGGAGAUGCAUCGGGCUGUGUCCGGGCGUACCUGGAGGAAGCCCGGACCGAAGCGCUGGCCACAGUGAGUGACCGGGGCAGUUUGGGAAAAGGAGACGACCGCAUCCUGGGUGACAUCUGCCGGAGGGCACGGGGGAAGAAGAGUCAAGGCUUCGCCUCUCUGCCCUGCUCCGAGUGCAGCCGCUAUCUCUUUCCUGCCCGGGGAGCAAGCUGUGCGGGUGGCCCUUGCCCUGUGAGGGUCUGAAGCGCGGUCACACUGGGGCAGAUAACUUCCUUAAGGUCAGAAGUAUUACAGCGGUUGCAUCUGAUCAGUUGUGCUAGCAUUCACAGAUACCUUUGUGAAGUCUCUGCACAGUGCAUGUGUUUACUUCAGUGUCCUCUGGAGAGGGAUAGAGCCUUUCAAAUCAGGUGCAGCACAACUUGACUGCACCCCAAAUUUAUGUGUGCUGGGAGAAAAAAAGGAGUUAGGAGUCCUUCCUUUCUUCCACCUUUCCUACUGACGGAGUCUUCUCUGACCAAGAGAGCAACUCUCACAAAUGACCUCGAGAGACUUUACAGUAUACCCCUAGCCUGAAAUGAUGGAAGAUUUACAUCAGAUAUAAGGAAGAAAUAUUUUACAGUAAGGAUGACGAGGCACUGGAACAGGUUGCCCAGCAAGAUGGUGGAAGCCCUGUCUUUGGAGACGUUCAAGACUUUGGAUAAUCACUGAAUGCUAACAGAACUUAUUUUCUGGAAUGAAGACAAAUGUGGAGUUUUUCUGCUUUGAAUCAGGUAUACUUCUAAAUAGUUCAGUAUACCUAAGACCCUUCAGGUAAAAUCUACAAAACCUAAACCAUGGGUCUUUUAUUUAAAAUCUACCUUUCCUCAAUACAUGGCAUUGAUCAAAACAUUCUUAAGCAUGUUUUUGCUGAUGUUAGGUCACCUUGCAGGCUAAACUGCAGAAUGGUGAUUUACUGAGGCUUUUUAAUGUGGAUUAAAUCUAUUGCAUUUCCUCGCUCCCUGUUUUCUGGUGGGCUGUUUUCUGUUGAGCAAAGGGGUUCUAUUUCGAUUCUCUGCUUCAAUGACUUUGAUACAAAGGAGACGACUAAAGUUUAUUGGCAGACCUCUGUUUUGACACCAAAAAAAAGGAAGAAAAGCUAUAGAAAAUGUAGUGAUUCCCUUCAUGUGUAUAUUCCUACUUGGAUAUGGUUGCUGUAAUAAUGAAUAAGCACUUCAGCAAGGCUGAGAUUGAGAACUUUUGCUGUCAGUCCUGAAGCUACCAUCAUUUUAUAAACGGGAAGAACAAAUUAUGAUUUGCCCACGGAUGUGGUGGCACUAAAUUAAGAGUUCUUCACCCAGUCCCACGCAUGCUGCCGUCAGUAGAUACUGUCUGUUGUGUGCCAAUUUGAAGUAUUUCUAUUGCCUAAAAGGUUUGCUUCUCCUAAGUCACUUUAGCCUUCUCCCUGGCCGGAAGAUCAUUAACUCACAUUCUAAAAAAUAAUCCAGUUGCGAUUGCUAUCCUCAGUCUGAAAGCAUAGGGAAAAAAAAAAAAAAAAAGAUUUGAGUGCUCACUAUCUGCUUGCAUACAAGCUAUGGUCUUAGACCUAUGUUGCCUGUUGUUUCCAAACUAUUGAAGUUACUUGAGAGUUACAGGAGGUGAAAUGACUUUGCUUUGCGAUAACAAAGGAUCUUACAAGCAAUUACUUUAGUGAAGAGCUCCCUUUUAUUUUUCUUUUACUGCUUCUGUUGCACAGCUUGAGAUGGAAUGUGUGUCUACAUUGUAGUGUUAAUGCAGACUUUAAAACAGAACUUUCAGCAUAGGCAGAUACUGCAGCUGCAGUGCAAGGCCACUAAUUUCAGUCAUGGUCCAUGUCCAAACUGAAAUUUGUUUUGCCAGAUGUAUUUCAGUUUUUCUGACAUGUCUAAUAACUUUCUAAUAACUUUGUUCACAAGGAUAACUCUUUAACUAGGCAUAUUAUCCUAAUGUUUAUGUAAAAUGAAACUAAAUUGUUAGAUAUAAACAAACGAGUUUUUACAGAGAAUCACAUGACUGGCAGAGGUAGCUGACAAGUCAACUUUUUUUAGCGGGUCUGAACUUUUACCAUUGCUAGUGCUACUGGGACAGGCCUAAAUAAUACUACUCGCUGUUGCAGCAUAUGGUGUGUUAAUGCUUUCUUUUUAUUUUUAGUAUGCCAGAACCAUGUGUUCCUUCCUACAGCAUGAGCUGGCUUUCCUAAUUCACAUUCCUUGCAGUCCAUCUGUCUAUAAAUGUUUUUAAGAAUACACAGAAUGAUGAUGAUGCAAAGAUACUAAUGUGUUAAGUCAUUAACAAUAAAAAUCAAACCUGGAAUAUUUGUUGUGUAUUUGGCCCAAACACACUCCAACACCACCUCCAAAAUCAAGUAACUUUGAGUUUUUAACUAAAACUUUUAAAAGAAGCUUUUCAUCUAAAAUAAGUAUUUGUCAUAUGUUGAAAGCAUAUUUAGGAGCAAAUCUGAAUAUUUUUUUCCUGUAGAAUGCCUAGUAUUUUGUGGAAGGGAGAUGCUAAAAGAUUAAGGCUGUGUAAAACUGAGGGAAGGCAGUAUAAAAUUAGUCCUGUGUGACUUAAGAAGUAAUUUAGUAAUUUAUAUAUUCUGACAGGUGGUUAGUUUUCACUGGAUAAUCCUGGUUCAAAAUGAAACGUUAUUUUUGGAAGUGGCAGAAUAAGUCUGUAGUUGAGAGAUAGCAGUGGUUGCCACGUUUUCCUGCAUUAUCUCAGUAGUUACUGAUCUGACAAUAUUAACAAGCUCAGAGGUGUCUGUAACUCUAUCUCUGUGCUCAGCAUUGGUGAGGCCACGCCUGGAGCGUGUGUCCAGUUCUGGGCCUGUAUUCAAGGGAGACACGAGCAUACUGGUAGGAGCCCACUGUAGUGCCACAAAGAUGGUGAAGGGACUGGAGUGUUUCUUUUAUGAGGAGUGGCUGUCCAGCCUGGGUGUCAUCCCAAAUGAGAAAUCAAACGCUCUAAUCCCAGUGUGGUGUUAGAAAGCAGCAUUCCUUUAUUCCUCACGAUAUUUACUGGGUGACUUGACAAAUCAAGCGUGCUCUCAGUGUUCAGGUUUUACAUUUAAACAGUUAAGAUACACAUAUACAAAUACAUCCGCAAACAUAUUCAUUCUUUUCCAAGAACUUUAUUAAUAUUAUGCUAAUGUCCUUCUGGGCAUGCAUGGUAGGGGCCUCCAGUGGUCCUAGACCACCUACUUCCUCUUCAUUUUACCAGCAUCAGCUUCAUCAUGGUGACUUUUGGCAGACCUUUAGCUAUUUUUCCCCAGUUUGGCAAGUUUCCAUUGUUUGUUAUGCCAUAAUGAACAACUUUCUAUCUUGGUGCACUAUAACCAGAAACAAUACAUGUGAAAUGCAAGAAAAAAGUCCUCGAUAGAAGAAGUCUGUUGUGACUUCAGUGCUUCUGUGAAGCCGGAUAGUUGAGAGAAACAAGGCUGUUCACACAUCAACCAAAGCUAAGCUGGAAAGUUUUAUUGCUAAACUAAAAUAUUGGUCCUUAAACUAUUAUGUUGAUCCCUAUUGCUAAACCAGGCUCUGUGGUGGGGAAGAAGAGACUUGGGGAGAAUCUCAUCAGUGCCUAUGGAUACCUGAAGGGAGGGUAUAGAUAAGACAGAGCCAGGCUCUUUUCAGAGAUGCCUAGUGCUGGAACACAAGAGGUUCUCCCUGACCAUCAAGGAGCAGUUCUAUACUGCACAGGUGAACAAGCCACUGGCACAGGUUGUCCAGAGAAGUUGUAGAGUCUUCUUCCUGGGACAUCUUGAAAAUCCAUCUGGAUGAUGUCCUGGGCACCCUAUUGUAGGUGGUCCUCCUUCACUGGAGUAGGGGUGACCAGAUGACCUUCAGAGGUCCCUUCCAACCUCAACUAUUCUGUGACUCACAAGUUGUGUUUUUAGCAGUGGACUCCUUAGGAUUAUUGAGCAUACUUCAGAGUAAUGGUUGCUCAGGGGGAGCCUUGCACUUAACCUGCAGUUAGGCAAGAAUCUAAGAUCUUGUGAUCUGGCAGUGGGGAAAACUGGUGACAGAGCUAGAUAUAGUGAUUUUUUUUUCCAUUUAUGUACAUGCCAACGAUCUGAUAAAUUGCCCUAGCAAACUUUAUCUUUAGAGAAGAGAUAAAAUAGUAAGUAGGACUGACCUGGCAUUCAAUGUCUUGUCAGCUCAUGAUGGCUCUUGCUGUUUACAGUGUAAAUCCUUUUGCCUAAUUGCUGAGCCUUCAUUUCCUAUAUGCAGCUACAAUUUCUUAAUUUUGUAUUUAUUUUCUGUUGUCAGUAUGUGGCAUGCUUCAUUUUAUAAAUCUUGUGUAAACAAUUGUUCAUAGCUAUAUCUCUGUAGUCUUUGCCAGUUCCAGAUCAGUAUCUGAAUAGUAGAUCAGCAUCCACCCACAAUCUUGAAUGUAGUAAUAAUUCUGUAACCUGUGUUUUCUAACACUGUGUGAUUUUAUUUUUCUUCCCCCCAGGGUAGAAGAGAUUUUGAAGUGAUACUUCUGUACUGUUUGUCAGCUUCAAACAGCUUUAAGCUUGUAAGUAGGAAUAUUGUUCUCAUCAACAGCUGGUCAGGGGUGAGCAGAAACUACUAUAUAACUGGCACAGAUCUAGAUUCCAUCAAGAAAGAAGUAGGCAGAACCAAUGCUGUUUCUAUUUGGAACUGGGUGAAGGCAGACAAUAAGUCAGAACCCUUCAGCACCCAAAUGAGCACUGUAUCCAGCCUUGGAUCUUCUUUGGCAGAUUGCUCAGGAGAGUCUUAUGUGUAAUGUGUCAUCCUGGCAUAUCCGUAUCUAACUGUGGUUAAUCCACCAAUUUUUUUCCCAAAAGCACAUCUAUCUUACCUAUUUCUGCACACCCUUCCUCUGUGAUGCAUCCUUUUCUUCAAAUCCUCAUGCUAGCCCAGAAAUGUAACAGUUCAGUUCACAUGAGUUCUCUCAAAUGGGCAUUCAAAUGAUUAGGCUCAGAUUAAAAUCCCACUGAUUAUAUGCUUUAAGUAGACUCAAAAUAUCUUUGUCAGAUGUCUUUAACCUCUCCAGCUGUCCUGUUGGUGAACACGAGUCAGAAGCUGAAGUUCUAUCCAGCUGAACUUGGAAGUCUUAACUGUUAAGCCAUUAGGGUAAUGUAUUUGGCAGUUUAAAGAUGUGGACUGGUGAAUUGCUGCAGUGACAGCAGCCUUUUUGGAAUGCUGCCUUGUUUUUUUUUUUAUUAUUAUUAUUAUUUAGUUAGUUAGUUAGUUGGAGAAGAGAGUCUCUCAGGCCUUUGUUUUCUUCUACACACUGAAAAUGAUAUUUUCUGGAAGAACUGAGCUUACUGUGGGCUGAUAAUGUUGAUUUGGUUUUUUGUUGUUGGUGGUUUUUUUGUUUUGUUUUUUUUUUUAAGUGUUCAUGGAAGUUCCUCAGACAGGUUGUGUCUGAAUGUUUUGUACACUGCCUAUGAAGAAAUGAGAAAUCAGUGCGUUCUCCCAAAUACCACAACUUACAGCACCUGAUACAGGAGGUAGCUCUCUUGUUCAGGGCUGCUCUGUAACGUUUCAUUUUGGAGAGGUGAGUGUUUUUAUAAAUGUAACAGAACAUGUCAAUACCUGGGUUUUAAUUAAUCCUUGGAUUUGUGUGUGUUUUUUUUGUUGUUUGUUUGUUUGUUUGUUUUGUUUGUUUUUUUUACCUUUCAACUUCUGGCCAGCUUCUCAUUCUAUCCCUUGCUGACCUUUCUGUAGUAAAGCCAGGUGGCACUUGGAUGUUGUUCUUUAAGAGACCUUUUGAUUUCUGCUGGAACUCAUGAAGAUACAUCCAGGUAUUUAUUGCAAUAAAACAGGUCUUUCCCUGAAGAUAAAAAGAGAUUAUCCUUUGAUUUAAAGAAAUGUUCUUGUCAUCUUCAAGGUUUCCACAAAAAGUUUAGGGUGAAGCACAGCUCCGUCUAUAGGUAAUCAAAAUCUGUCUCAGAUGUGAAGGAUGAGGUCUCCUGAGUAAUGUUUUGUUCCACUCCCUUAAGACACGGGGAUCCUUAUAAUUAGCAGUGAUGUAUACAGCAUAUAUAUCCAAACUGUGCUCCCAUGUUCUGUCCUGAUGUUCCUACAAUAGAGGCUGGUUUUGGUACAGCUGCCCUGCAGAUAAGUACAGCACCUCUUGUCACAGUGAGGUUAAAAGAGUGUUACAGAAUUAGUCAGCCUGUACAAACUGUAGUUACAGCCUGUAUGUCUGAUCUUUGUGGCUUUCCCUGCCUUUGAAUGUUUGAAAGAAGAGCUCUGCACUUAGUGGUCACCUAGCGACCGUGUAUACAAUACAAGAGUGUUUUUUUUUUCUCUUUUUCAAGUUACAACAUCUUGGUUUAGCCAUAGUUAUGAGCUGCUAAUGAGUGUCAGGUUACAGAUUAAGUUUUUCCUUUUUCCAGUGCAAAUCCAGAGACAUAAUGGCAAGCUUUUUUACAUUUAAAACAAAAUAUCAAUAGAUCUGACCUCUUGUAAUUUUAUGUCUAUAGGUACAGAAAAGCAGUGCUCUGUAUUUGAUUGCUGGUUACCCUGGCUGCAUUUGAGUACAUCUGUGUUCUGUUGUGGUUUUAACCACUGCAUAACAUUAGAACUAUUACACAAUGAUUUCAUUUUACUUCCACGCUAACUCCUACAGUCUUCAAUAGAAAUGCACACAGGAAGCAGGAUUUAGUGCUAGCUUUACUACAUAUUUAAUCGUCUUCUUCAAACAUACAGCUUUUACGAUAGUAAUCUGAAGAUUUUCAACAGUUUUUGAAGAUUUCUGAAGCCAGCAGGAUUUCUGAAGCUAGUGGUGAGGAACGGUUAUGGAAAGAAACUGGUUUGUGUAAUUAAGAUAAUUAAGCCAGAAAUCACACUUUAUAUUCAGGGUGAGAAUAAAGCUGCAAUAGAAGUUCACUAAGAAAAUGUAUCUUGACAAACCAAGCUUUUGAGAAGCUGGGAAAGUUAGCAAGCUGAAAACAUAGAAGACAUUGGAGUAUCAGUGUUCUCAAGAAAGAUGAUCUAUGAGAUUGCAUGGCUAUCUUAUCUUUCCGGCCUCAAAACAGAUGCAACUUCACUAGAAAUAAUAGGAGAGAUGUGUGUAAGAAACUGAGAGUAAAGCUACACACCAGUGGCAUUUUAAGACUGGGUGAGGUUGCACUCCAUAGACAGAAGUCUAGAUGUCUUCCACAACUUCAGGUGCUUUCUAAUACUAGCAUGGCAGGGUUACCGUGUUGGGAUUUAAUUAUGAUGCAAUGCUUGGUUUUAGUGUUGGAAAAAAUCUGAAUUGGUCUAGAAGUAUGGCUUUCUAUGCAUUCUUUUAUCACACAACUAACCUCUAUGUUUAUGUUUUCUUUCUGGAAUGCAUCCAUUCAAUAAACAUUGAGUACUCAAACAUCGUAGUAAAAGAUGUGAAAAUGAAGAACAUCUAACAAGAAACUGAACUGUGUUCUUGUACUUGCUAUUUGUUUACAUUAAAAGAUUUCUUAUAACCCAAGGCUGUGUUUUCUAAUAUUUUAUUUCCUUUUGACACAUUUCAUUUCUGGCACUUGUCUGUUGAUUAGCAAAAUACCAAGUACCUGGUAAAGGGCUUAGCCUAGUUUUCAUUCUACAGUUUAAAUCAGGUGAAAAGCAAGAAUCAUCUUGCUUUUAUUGCUUUCUGCCUUUCCUCAUGAAUCCAUUGCUGGGAGGAGAGAAACCUGAAGGUAUUUGUUCUAACUCAUGCUUCCUUAGCUGCUCACUUUCACUCCUAGACCUUUCUCUCCGUUGGGAUGAUGCAACUGCUUUUGCAUGAGAAUUAUUUGAAGUGGAUUAUAGAAUUGAUUCAAGUUAAAUAUGUAUUGUUUAUAACCCCUUUAAUCCAAUUUGCCUUGAUUUAAUAUUGCAGCGUGCUGCAGGAGGUGGCACAGUGGAGAGGGAAUGGAAGGGGCUGAGUAACAUGGCAUUGUUGAGGGGGUAGGGAGAGAAAAACACUUAUCAAUCCUACAGCCAUUUGGAGAUUGCUCCGUGUUCCCUGUACAAUUAUGAAGGAACAGUACCUAGCUGAAGAGAACUAGAGGACAGCUGUUUCUGAACAUGGGGGAAAGUCAUCUUAUUUUUUUCAUAGGUGGGAAGAGAAAAAGACUGUUACAUUUAUGGGACUUCUUCAAUAAUAUAACUAGUAAAUGUGAAAGUGAAAUGUCCUCAUGGUUGUGUGUGUGUGUGACUGGCUUAAAAAACAAUCAAACAAACAAAAAAACCUUAAAAUACAUCUGGCUACAUCCUCAGACUUCUUCCUCAGUACUGACUGGAAAAUCUUAAUGAUCAAUGGGAAAAUGAAAGUAAUCUGUUAUUCGUAAUGUCCCUGAAGAAGGUGAUAGUGGGAUCUGAUUGCAGCUCUUUUUAUACUUCGCCUCUCCCUAGCCUCUAGGUAAACUUCCAGUUGCUGGCUUUGUCUUGUUUUUUAACAUGUACUCUCAGUGUAAUAGCCAAUUUUUGCAGGGAAGAACAUGUAGCCUAGCAAGGAACAAGACUGGUAGCAAUUUCAAAAACAGCUUGAUUACAUUGUGCUUACUAAACAAAGAUGAUGACAGUUGCAAUUGCAGUUGGAGCAUAGAUAGUAUUUCAGUUCCAUUUGAACAGCAGUGUGUGGUUGCUACAAUGGUAAUUUUAACCAAGCUGGAAAGGAAAAAAGAAUCCUACGAAAACUACAGUGAGUCACUACCUUCUCCAGUAUCUCACAAUACAGAAAAACUAGCCAUUUCAGUUACAUUUCUGGAUAUUAAUUAACUUUUCUUUCGCCUUAAACUUAUAGGAACUUGAAAAAGCAACGAGCAAGAGUGGAUUAGACACAGAUACUGAAAAAUAAAGUUCUGCUUGUUCGGAUUCAGUGCAUGUGGAGAAAGAAAACGAAUCAACGAGUCUUGUGGCUAUCCAAAAAAAUGAACAGUACUUGAAUCAACUGCACGAGGACAGCACAAAACCUAGAAGACAUUCACUUUGAAAGAGCAACCUCUUAAAAGCUCUCUGGAAUUUUGUCUACCUUGUGUACUGCAAUCAGUUGCAUCAUCAAGACAAAAUCUCAAAGGCUGUCCCAGGUUCAAGGAGGAUUAACUCAAAGCCAGGCCUCUUAGGAACGUUCUUAAGCAGAUCCUGACGUGUGCAGAGUUUGGUCUCCUAGGAAAAGAGGCUCUUACUUAAGUGGCAUAGUGCCUUGUUUUAAAGGCAGAAAGCAUGGAUUAAAUUUGGUUCUGAAGUGCUGUGCAUAGCGUUUCAUGCUACAGAUUUUCAAGGAGAGUUUACUUGUGCCCUUUGAUACUUGCUCCAGGGGCAGUAUUUGUGCAGGCCCGGUGACUGCUUUAUCUUUUGCCUUCACUGUGAUCAAUAUAGGCAAAUAAUUAAAAUAACUGAAUUUGAAACAUCAUAGAGCGUCUGAGAGUUAAGGUAGCCAAGAAAGACGAGCUUUUUAUCAUAGCAACAAUGCAACCACCUUUGAAUGUCACGUACUGCAGCCACAAAAAGAAGAGUAUUGCCUUGAAACCUAUCACCUUACCUCAGCUCCCAUGUCAUUGUCAGUUGUUGUUUUGUACUGUGCUACUUGUCCUUAGGAAAAUCUGUGGGCUAGCGUGUGGGAAGUUGACAUAGACUUUACUCUGGGUCUGAUGUAAGAGGAAUUCAUACAGGCUGCUAUUGCCCUGUUGAGCUGUUCUUUGGCUAUCACUGAAGUAUAGUAUAGAAUAGUAAAGAAUUGCUAUAUGAGGGUUAUUCUUUGUGACAUCUGCUUUUAAGUAUAUAUGAAACUGUGCUAUCGAACAAGAUUCCAUCUCAAAGCUGAGAUAUCUGUUGCCAACAUUCACUCAGGAGAGGGCAGGGCUGCCAUGAGAGGAAGAAACUGAUGCUGCUGAGAUUUUAAGUAUAGAUGAUGUCACAAUAAAUAGCAAGCUAUAUGAGUAGCUUUAUUCCGCUGGCUUUCAGCCCACCUUGGAAGCAAGGUCUGGCGACAGCGCGCUCCUCCCUUGCUGCUCCCCUUCUCCCCCUGGCCCGCCCCUGCGGCUCCCUCAGUCCCGCCCCGGAGCAGCAGACGAGGACCCAUUGGCCCCCGCCCUCCUCUUCUUUGCAUAGGGGAGGCCGUGUCCGCCCCAGGCACCGCCCCUCACGGGUGUGCAGCCGUGCGCGCGCUGUUGUGGCACGUGAGGGCGGCGCACGUGGGUCCGUUAUGUAAAGCAC